rnacentral:lncRNA from 1 species
AUGCAGUACUCUAUAUUGAUUCGCCCAUUUUUUAACUCUGAUACAUUUUUUUUUUACCUUUAUUUUGAUAAUAUUUAAAAAAUUACUCUGAUCAAUCUAUUUUUUUUCUUAAAUACUCUACUAAUCUUAUUUUUGCACUGAUACCAAAUUAACUCGAUAUAUCUAUUUUUGAUUCUUGCUCAAUUUGUCUCAUUCUUGUCUUAAUA